AGCAGCCGCGGUAAUUCCAGCUCCAAUAGCGUAUAUUAAAGUUGUUGCAGUUAAAAAGCUCGUAGUUGAAUUUCGGGGUUCAUCCGUUGGUCGGGCUUUUUGGUCUGUACUGGCGUGAUGGAUUCCUACCUUCUGAAUAACCGGCAUGCCAUUAAUUUGGUGCGCCGGGGAAGCAGGACUGUUACCUUGAAAAAAUUAGAGUGCUUAAAGCAGGCUUAUGCCUGAAUACAUUAGCAUGGAAUAAUGAAAUAGGACGGCAUGGUUCUAUUUUGUUGGUUUCUAGGAUCACCGUAAUGAUUAAUAGGGAUAGUUGGGGGCAUUAGUAUUCAAUUGUCAGAGGUGAAAUUCUUGGAUUUAUUGAAGACUAACUUCUGCGAAAGCAUUUGCCAAGGAUGUUUUCAUUAAUCAAGAACGAAAGUUAGGGGGAUCGAAGACGAUCAGAUACCGUCGUAGUCUUAACCAUAAACUAUGCCGACUAGGGAUCGGAUGAUGUUAAUUUUUUAAUGACUCAUUCGGCGCC
rnacentral:rRNA from 1 species